CCUACGGGAGGCAGCAGUGGGGAAUAUUGCACAAUGGGGGAAACCCUGAUGCAGCGACGCCGCGUGAGUGAAGAAGUAUUUCGGUAUGUAAAGCUCUAUCAGCAGGGAAGAAAAUGACGGUACCUGAUUAAGAAGCCCCGGCUAACUACGUGCCAGCAGCCGCGGUAAUACGUAGGGGGAAAGCGUUAGCCGGAUUUACUGGGGGGAAAGGGAGCGUAGACGGCAGGACAAGUCUGGAGUGAAAUGCCGGGGCUUAACCCCGGAACUGCUUUGGAAACUGUGCAGCUAGAGUGCAGGAGAGGUUAGUGGAAUUCCAGGUGGAGGGGUGAAAUGCGUAGAUAUUUGGAGGAACACCAGUGGCGAAGGCGGCUUACUGGACUGUAACUGACGUUGAGGCUCGAAAGCGUGGGGAGCAAACAGGAUUAGAUACCCCAGUAGUC
rnacentral:rRNA from 1 species